AAAUGGUGGGGCUUCUGGUGCGGCGAUGGCAACUCCAUUUCUACAGGCCAGCCAAGAAGAGCCAGCGGACCGGGCACCUGUUGUAGGUGUGAUAGGAAGAAGGCUGGCCCCAAAUGUGCUGAAAAAAUAACUGCUUGUGGGGAAAAAAAAAAUCCCUGGAUCAAGGGGAGAGUGCCUGCAAAUUUUACAGCCUGGUGAGUCCCCGUCCACUCACCACAGGGAGAAAAGAAUGUGGUGAGACUGCCGACCCAUGAGACUACUACAGUGGGAGCCCAAACCCGGCUGAUCCAAAACCAGCCAGGCACAAAAGCCGCAAGGAGACAUGGCCCAUCCAGGAGCACCCAGCGCUCCAGGAGCCGAGGAUGGAGGUGGAGGACUCAGUUCUGUUUCAGAUCAAUGAGGGGAACCCAAAGCUUAAACACGUCUGGGUUUGCUCACCCGGAAGAUAACCACGCUGAGUCUCUUCAGAGCACUUUGCCUAUAUAAGGCAGUCAGGAGGAAGCCCUAUUUCUUUUUUAUUAAUGUCAUAUGACACCUGUUGAUUUGUUUAAAGGACUCUAUUUUUAAGCCCAGCUUCCGCAGCAGUAGCCCUUCGUGAUGUGGGUUGGGGCUGUUCUGCUUCGUGCCCAUCUACCCCAGAUGCUCGGUCCCUCUUCUCUGUAGAUCAGAGUCAAAUGAAAUAGCUGCUAACGUCUUAAGAUGCCAGCCAUUCCUGCCUUCAAAGCACACGCUCCCAUAGACAUCACCUGAAAUUCACCGCUCGCUACCGCACAUGACUUACAAAAUUCUGUGGCCAUAUCAGCUGCCUCCAAUGGAGCUACAUCUACAUACACCAGCCCUGGAUCUGGCCCUGUGUGCAUUUUAUCAGACCAUUGGGAAAAUAAUUUUAUUGAAGAAUCAAAGAAGAAGCAUAAUCCCAUGUCCAUUUAUACCCGCCCUCUGGGGCAUCAUUCACCUCUCCCAUUCCCUGCUGGCACCAAACAGCUAUCAUUAGGCUAUGAAAACAUAUCUCCAGCUUCCUCUGAGGUCGUGGAAGGCUUUGACUCAAAUUGUGACCAACCCGUUCCUCAAAUAAGCCUUCGCUCUGCACUGCAGGCAUCGUAAGGACAUUCCGCAGCGCUCAGGAUUGAGGACAUAACAAGAAGAGUGGAUCGAAGCAACAGGUGUUGAGAUGCACCCGCCCGGCAGGUUAGAAGAACCGAGAGAAGUGUGCUACUUGUGGCCAAAUUAGAAUUGAACGUGAACAACCUGUUUCUGCCAUUAUUCCCCUGGCCCGAUAAUCCUCAACCCGCAAUCUGUGGGCCAUUGGACUGCAAGCAAAAGGGCAGUGGUUUCUGUUCCCUGCACUUAAAAGUGUAUUGUUACCUUUGGGUCCCAGUGUGUUGAAUUUCAAACAAUUAAACAACACUUGGAUCAUAGAAGCUUGGAAAAGGAAGCCCCUUUUACUAAAAUAAUUAAUAUUAAAAGACAAACAAUGCUUGAUGCUAACUAGCCUGAAAAGCAUUUAAAUAUAAAAAAUAAACGUUCAACUUGAA